ACCCGCUGAAUUUAAGCAUAUAAGUAGGCGGUGGAAAAUGAACCAAAUGGGAUUCCUUAAGUAAUUGCGAAUGAACAAGGAAUUGCUCAGCUUGAAAAUUGGGGCCUUCGGCCUUGAAUUGUAAUUUUGAAAUGUAUUGCCAAUGGAGGCGCAGGUGCAAGCCUAUUGAAAGAAAGCGUCAAUGAGGGUGAGAUUCCUUUUUGUCAUUUGCAGUCCUCCGUGCACGGUGUAUAUUUGACGAGUCACACUCCUCGGCAUUGGAAUGCAAAGUGGGUGGUAAAUUCCAUGUAAAGGAAAAUAUAUUAUUGAGACUGAUAGCAAACAAGUACCAUGAGGGAAAUAUGAAAAGGACUUUGAAAAGAGAAUUAAAAGAGUCUGCAUUUGCUGAACAGAAAGCAAACAGAAUUGAUCUACUUGGUGAGAUUGUUGCGUCCACUUGUGGGCGCAAUGGUUCUUGCCUUGGAUGUCAGCGUCUAUUUCUGCAAAUCAUUACCCUUGCACAUGAAUGGUAAUUUGCCUGUGGGCAUUGGAAUGCAUGUGUUUGCAAUGAUUUGUGUUUUGAUACAUGUGUCUGGCGUUCGUGUGUGUGCCUUCUUGCCAACAGGGGAGGGCUCUCCUCCCUGGGCACUGCAAGCCCUUGCACAGUGUUGCUGGCAAAAUAUUUCUGCUUGACCCGUCUUGAAACACGGACCAAGG
rnacentral:rRNA from 1 species